rnacentral:siRNA from 1 species
CUCCAAGAGAUCGCCUUUGCUA